rnacentral:lncRNA from 1 species
AGUGUCCAACGUUGCCUCGCGGAGGCCGCCGUGCGGAGCAAAUGUCUAACGGAAAUCAGAGGUGGAAAAGAGGUUGGAGGAGCCUGUUCCGUUCCACCCGCGUUUACUGAUGCGCCCACCAGCAGCCACGCUUGGGGCUGGGGGCUUUGAGGACACGCACGCUGCCUUAAAUAUAAUGGACAUCCGUAUGGAUUAAGACUCUAUACAAGCUUUCUCUUUAGUACACCAGGGGAAAGUGAAAAAAGAACCACAUUUGAAUUCGGCUUUGUCACUACAAGUGGGUGACCAUGAGCAAGUUACUAACCUCAGUGAACCUGUUCCUAACCUAAAAAGGAGGAGAAUGGAGAGCAGGUAAUAAUACCUUAUGAGAUGGUUGUGAGAGUUAUAUAGCAUUCUUUAUGUCAUAGUCCUAGCAAAGUGCUGGCAUAAAAUAGGUGCUCCCUAAAUGUUAAUUACCUACCUUCCUUUCCCUUUCUGUCAGAUUUUCUCUACUAUUCUUAUGAAAUAAUAAAGAGUUUUUGUAAUUAAA